rnacentral:lncRNA from 1 species
GAAAUCAAGAGCUGCUUACUGUGUUAGUACACAGAUCUAACUUUCACUCUUCUUUUAGAAUAAGACAGUUUGGGAUAAAAAAUGGAAAAUCAGUGCUGUGUAUUCUUUGAAUGUUUCUUGGAAUAUGACUAAAUAAAGCUGUCCCAUUUAGAGAAUGGAACUUGAUUUUUUCCCCCUAGAUCAGAUGCAUACGACUACCGGAAAUACCACAGUUAGCAUCCAAUGACCAAAUAUACCAUUGCCUAAGGACUGUUGUUGUUAACGUUGAUCUUUACAGAUUAUACCCAGAGCUUCACACAUGCCAGGCAAGGGUCUACCACUGAGCUUCCUGCUCCAGCCCAGACUGUUGGGAGCAUCUUGAACAAUACCACUCAGCUGCAACUAGCAGCUUCCUGGACAGUGAUGGCCCCAUUCCCCAACCCGCCAUGAAAUUCUCACCUGCUGUGUCUCUAGGAAGAUUCAUGAACAUUUCCUCAGUGAAGCAGGAGGAAUCUACCCACAGUGUUUUUCCAACAAUGCAUUUGACACCAUUAUGUGAUUCUAAAUCCAGGAACCACAGGGAAACAGAAAUUGAGAGGUGGCAUCGAGAAGCUAAUUUCGAUCCUGACCUCCAAGGACAGAGUGUUGCAUUCACGUCAGUAUCUCUCAGGAGAGUCAGGCCCAAUCUCUGAAAGCACAGGAGACACUGUAACGUGAGUCUUGCUGCUGUCGGGUAGAGUUGGCAAGCACAGGUUAAGGAUCCUGCCACGUGACUCAAAGAAGCCUGAUGUAAAGCAGCAGGAGAUGGGGGAAAGAGCAAGUCCUUUCUCCUCCAGAUGUGAAGGAUUCCUGCAGCUCUCACGAUCAGCAGAGCCUAACUUGGAGCCAGAGGAAAAGAAAAAUGGUAAGUUCAGAUUUCCAGUCCCAGCUUGAUAAAUCAGAUUAGAGAUU